rnacentral:rRNA from 1 species
UACAGAGGUCUCAACCGUUGUUCGGAUUCAUUGGGCGUAAAGGGUGCGUAGGCGGUCGCGCAAGUCGGAUGUGAAAUCUCAGGGCUCAACCCUGAAACUGCAUUCGAUACUGCGUGGCUAGAGUGCUGGAGAGGAGACUGGAAUUUACGGUGUAGCAGUGAAAUGCGUAGAUAUCGUAAGGAAGACCAGUGGCGAAGGCGAGUCUCUGGACAGCACCUGACACUGAGGCACGAAAGCUAGGGGAGCAAACAGG